rnacentral:misc_RNA from 1 species
CGUUACCAAACUGUUGCCUCGGCGGGAUCUCUGCCCCGGGUGCGUCGCAGCCCCGGACCAAGGCGCCCGCCGGAGGACCAACCAAAACUCUUUUUGUAUACCCCCUCGCGGGUUUUUUAUAAUCUGAGCCUUCUCGGCGCCUCUCGUAGGCGUUUCGAAAAUGAAUCAAAACUUUCAACAACGGAUCUCUUGGUUCUGGCAUCGAUGAAGAACGCAGCGAAAUGCGAUAAGUAAUGUGAAUUGCAGAAUUCAGUGAAUCAUCGAAUCUUUGAACGCACAUUGCGCCCGCCAGUAUUCUGGCGGGCAUGCCUGUCCGAGCGUCAUUUCAACCCUCGAACCCCUCCGGGGGGUCGGCGUUGGGGAUCGGCCCUGCCUCUUGGCGGUGGCCGUCUCCGAAAUACAGUGGCGGUCUCGCCGCAGCCUCUCCUGCGCAGUAGUUUGCACACUCGCAUCGGGAGCGCGGCGCGUCCACAGCCGUUAAACACCCAACUUCUGAAAUGUUGACCUCGGAUCAGGUAGGAAUACCCGCUGAACUUAAGCAUAUCAAUA